rnacentral:rRNA from 1 species
GUUGAACGCUGGCGGCAGGCCUAACACAUGCAAGUCGAGCGGUAACACAGAGAGCUUGCUCUCGGGUGACGAGCGGCGGACGGGUGAGUAAUGUCUGGGAAACUGCCUGAUGGAGGGGGAUAACUACUGGAAACGGUAGCUAAUACCGCAUAACGUCGCAAGACCAAAGUGGGGGACCUUCGGGCCUCAUGCCAUCAGAUGUGCCCAGAUGGGAUUAGCUAGUAGGUGGGGUAAUGGCUCACCUAGGCGACGAUCCCUAGCUGGUCUGAGAGGAUGACCAGCCACACUGGAACUGGGACACGGUCCAGACUCCUACGGGAGGCAGCAGUGGGGAAUAUUGCACAAUGGGCGCAAGCCUGAUGCAGCCAUGCCGCGUGUAUGAAGAAGGCCUUCGGGUUGUAAAGUACUUUCAGCGAGGAGGAAGGCGUUAAGGUUAAUAACCUUGGCGAUUGACGUUACUCGCAGAAGAAGCACCGGCUAACUCCGUGCCAGCCGCCGCGGUAA